rnacentral:tRNA from 1 species
AAAGGUAUGGCUCAAAUAGUAGAGCACCAGCUGAGCAAGCAUGAAGCUCUGGGUUCAAACCCCAGUAUUUGUA